UGGGGAAUAUUGCACAAUGGGCGCAAGCCUGAUGCAGCCAUGCCGCGUGUAUGAAGAAGGCCUUCGGGUUGUAAAGUACUUUCAGCGGGGAGGAAGGCGAUAAGGUUAAUAACCUUGUCGAUUGACGUUACCCGCAGAAGAAGCACCGGCUAACUCCGUGCCAGCAGCCGCGGUAAUACGGAGGGUGCAAGCGUUAAUCGGAAUUACUGGGCGUAAAGCGCACGCAGGCGGUCUGUCAAGUCGGAUGUGAAAUCCCCGGGCUCAAACUGGGAACUGCAUUCGAAACUGGCAGGCUAGAGUCUUGUAGAGGGGGGUAGAAUUCCAGGUGUAGCGGUGAAAUGCGUAGAGAUCUGGAGGAAUACCGGUGGCGAAGGCGGCCCCCUGGACAAAGACUGACGCUCAGGUGCGAAAGCGUGGGGAGCAAACA
rnacentral:rRNA from 1 species